UUCGGCAAACUCACUUCAUUUUACAAUACUUCAUUGCAAUUUAAAAAAAAAUGAAAUUCUAAAGUUAUAUGGUCUAUAUAUUUAAAAAAUAUUGGCUUAGGGUCACAAUUCCUCUCAAUGGUAGAACAUCUAUGAAUUAAAAAAUUAUUACAUUUACCGGUAAUAUUCAGCCUGCUUAUAAUAUUUCCUUCGCAACAUAAAAAAUAGCUAGUGUGAAUGUUUCUAUUUGUCAUAGUUUCAGAGUUUAUUGGCAAAUCGCACUACACUAUUAGGAAUAAAGAAGGAAUACAACUACUAGAUUUAACUUUGUUUAUGUUGUUAUUUUUAUGUUUUAUACUUACAGUAAACUUAUUUUGUAAAUUCAAAUGGUAUUAAAUUAAUUCCUCAUAAUUAUAGGAGUCAACGGUUAAGAUAUGACCAUUCGAUUUCUUAACGGUUACGAAUUGACUAACACAAUGGUUACGAAAUGACCAACAAUGAGCGAUUACGAAAUGAUCAUAAUUCAUUUGACAGGGCUUUUACCAGCUGUUUGUCUGUGCAGAGCGGGAUUUUACCUGGGAUUGGCUGGACCGAAAGUCAAAGUCCCCGCUAUUAGCAGGACCUUGGGGGCCCAUGCUGCAAUUGACUGUUGCAUUAUUUGGAUUUUUUCUUAACUUUACGACACGCCCCCCUACAGUAUUUUAUAGUCAAGUUUAGUAAUAUUUAUUUACAGAAAUUGGAUAACUUAACAAGUAAAGUAAACUGUACUGAGUUUUUGAACAAACCUACAUACUUAUAAAUCAAAAUUGAUAUUUUAGGGUCUACACUGAAUAAACCCAAAAUGUUAGUUUUGAUUUGCUAAAUUCGAACAGUAUUUAGUCUAUCCACACAAAAUUUAUAGGAUCAUCAGAUAACAAAUUUUCUAAAAAUUCUCUGUUUGCCAAAUAGGGUUUAAGUGGGGUUAAAAGGUUGCUAUCUGUGACCAAAAAAUACUGUUCAAAAUUGUGAGUAUUCAUUUAUCUUUCGUUCAGUAAAGAGCAUGCAAUGGCAUAGUGGUUGGAUUAGAUAAUCUGACAGCGGUGCUGGACAUCAGGAGUUCAAAUAUUGUUGUGAGUUCAAUGUACCAAAAGAAUUCCUUUGGAAUACACAAUUAUCUUUAAAAAUGGCAGAGCAAAUUGCCCAUAUUGUAGUAAUGUCUUAGAUCCAGCUUGGAUAACUUGGACACAGUAAGCGGUUCACACCCAGGGAAAUUCUCAGAUAAAACAGCGCCUAUAAACUUGAUCAUUACAUUUUUCAUUGAGACAAUUAAAGAAAAAAACAUUAUUGCUGAUCUUCUGAAAACAAAUCUUCUAACAUUCAAAUAUUUAAUUUGUUAGAUGAACUAAGGUUUAUAUUGAUAAGAUAUUGCUUCAGUUGGUUUUAAACUUAUCACCAACAAAAAUAUAUGCAUUUAAAUCACACAAUGUAAACAACUGCGCCACAGAUCUUAUCUGCAGAUUUGGGUUUUUAAAAUUUAGCAGUUAAAUAUAGAUUAGCAUACUGUUGCUUUAGUUGCUAAGUAAACAUAAUGUCAGUGAUUUCAUCACUAUUUCUAUUAAAAUAUCAGUUUUCUUCUUCAGGGCUUCUCACAUUUGCACCAUUUUUUACCAUUUGAAUCAUAAAAAGAUAACAAACACAAGAACUUAACACUUUGUGAAUAUUUAAGGAAUGUAAGGGGUCAGAUUUCAGAUUGCUCAUUAUUUCUGGAACACUAAAUACUUUAUUUGAUUGUGUACACUGCACUUUCUUGUUAAGCAUUCAUCCAAAUAAUUUGGGUAAAUUUUGGCAGAAAAACUGCUUUUGGAUUUAUACUGGUCAUCAAAACCGGCACUGACAAAACAUAAGACGUGUUUAAUUAAUGUGCGGGAAAGAAGUUUAAAGGUGUCGGCCCACAACGAAAGGCUUGCGGGUUGCAGUACCCCUUCAAGUAGUUCUUGAAAAAAAUGAUUCUCUCAGGUAGCAUUUGAGUAUGUGUACAUUGAAUUAUUGUAUGUAUUUUCAAGUUUACACAUGAUUUAUAUAAGGUUUGUAUAAUUUUAGUUUUAUUUAAGUUUUAAAAUUUUGAUUUUUUUUUAAGAUUUGCCUGCCCCUGUCUGAACACUUAAAUUCUUGGUCUUUGGACUAUUGUCUGCAACUUCAAAACACACUUUGGAACAGGACACAUUUUCCUGAUAUUUUAUCCAGUUUGACUGCAAUAUAAGUUGUAUUUAUCAAUAAUUUAAGUAAAAAAUGACAUUUAUAUUUCCAUAAUUACCUGGUAGUUAUUUGUUAAUUUGUUUGAAUUCAUGGAUAGGUUUAUUGCGAGUGUCAUGGAAAGCUGGAACUUUUCAGUAUACAACAUGCAAACUGAGAAUGAACUGUGUGUGCCGGCUUUGUGAACAAAAACGCAAGGUGGCUUUGAUACACUGUGUUGUGUGUGGAUAAGAAAUGCAGAGUGGUACCACCAAUCACCUAAGCCACCAUUCCCCUAACAGACACAAGGCUCAUGGGGACAGUUCCUGCAGUUUACAGCAAAGCUCUCAAUUGUAGCCCUACAAACUUCAGAUACUGCCCAUGGUGAAGCAUGGGUGCACUAGGCCGGUUAUCCAGCCGUGUGGAAUCAAUAUCUCCAGCUGAACUUGGGCCGGGAAUUAUAUAAGAAUCCUUAGCAGCAUGAGUGCCAGCCAGUCAUUGAUGUUCUUUGCAUUGCUGAGGAGGACAGUCCUGCCAACAUAACAGUUUGUUCAAUAACAGGAGACAAACAGAAACACAGAGGUGCUAUGCAUUCCGAUGGAAAAGACAACAAAAGCAUCUCCCAUCAUUUCGGCGUGGCUCAGAUCAAGAGGAGAAUUUUAAGAAAGGUGAUGGCUGGGCACACACAAGAAGACAUAGAUCACAGGUAUCCAGGCAUAUGAGUAGACAGGAGUUUCACACUCUGCCAAACUUACUUCAUCAGAGGAGCAGAAAGCUUCUCAAGAUCCCGCACUGCACACUUAGAUAUAGUCUUUGACUACAACAAGGGGAUGAAAGUACAGAGAGGUCCAAUUGAAAUCAAUUCUGUGCUGCGUCAUUUCUUCAUUCUGGAAGUCGAUGGACAUGAUUUAUCAUGGCAUCAAGUGUGCAGUUUGUCGACUAUCAGUAGUCUUGUUCACCAGUUGUGCAACUUGAGCUGGUAGCUUUAUUGCUUGAAGCCACAGCAUAAGAGGGGGAAGGUGCAGGCUCAUCAAAAAGUCUCAAAAGUUGAAACUAGGAAAAGAAGUUUGUCAAGAGUGUGAAUCUAUUUGCUUUGAAAACAAUCGGUACAAUGAUUUGGUUUCCUUUGGAACUUGAUACAUACUAUGUGUGUGUUGAAUAAAUUGAGAUGCUUAAAUAAAGAACCGCUAUUCAAAUAUCAGGAAACUGCAUUUUUCAUACUAAAGGGUAAAUGAUGUCGCCAUUUCCUGUAUGUAUUUAAAUAAGAUAUGUUUCCACAAUUAAUAUUUUUAGGGAAUUUUUCUCAACCUAAUGAAUGAGAUUAAAUUGUACAGCGUUAUAUGAGCUUAAUAUGUGUUUUCUGUUUCUUUAAAAUUGGUGAAAAAUUGUCAGAAGAUAAUUAGACCAGUAUCCAUUACUGCAAUCAUACAAUCAAAAAUACAGGGACAAACCCACUGGGCAUAUAAUAUAAUUAAACCUUGUUUAGGGGCACGAGGCAAACAGUUACUUUCAAACGUUAAAGCUGCACUCUCACAUUUUUGACGUUUUGACAACUUUUCUCAUUUUAUGUCUUGGAUUGGAACCAUCCAAUUUUUGCGAAAAAUUAAAUGGCAGAUUUUUCUAUUUAAGUUAAAACAUUGAUGUUUUAUGCACUUUUCUUAAACUGUUAGUAACAUUAAUUUUCGAACGGAAAUAUGAAAUCUGUGAUGUGAUCUUUUGUCAGCAAUCUUUUAUCAUUGGUUUGCAGAUAAUUACGCAAAAAAUUGCUCAUUCCAAAACAAAAAAAGUUGUGAAAACGGUAUAUCUGUGGGAGUGCAGCUCUAAAUGUUUAAUUUCUUGAUUUUACUACUGUAUUAGAAAUUACAGGGGUUGGGGCAUAUUUUAAGUGAUUUUAGUGCUUUUUUAUGAUUCAUACAGUCAUACUUUAUUCCUCAGGGCACAACUUACAAAUAGACAAAACUGGAAAAUGGUCAUUUCAAAAGGUCAAAGAUAAUGCAAGUUGAACAAUCAUAUUGUUCAUGGCUUGUAUUUUUGGUAUAUUUUGUUGCAUAUGCUAUAGAAAAGUUGAAAGUUAAAAAUAAAUUCAUAGUUGAAAUGGUGGCUUUGAAUGGUAUUGUCAGAUGUGAAACGGCACUAUUAAGAAAUAGGUAUAAUGGUACUUUAUUCAUUUUGAUCAAUUUUAGAUAUUGUAUGAAAAUUAUUAUCUUAUUUACUACAUGAGACCUUUUAAAUAGUUAUUGACAAUAUAACAAUGUGUAAAUGAAGCUUUAGAUCAACACUUAAAGCUGCACUCUUACAGAUUGUCAGUUAAGACACAAAAUUGUCUCAAAAUCUGCUGAUUUGGUUAUCAUUCCUUUAAUUCAGUCAUAUCAGAUAAUUCACAAUAGAACCAAUCAGAAAUGUUUGGUAAAACUGCCGAAAAUUUGAUUUACAUUAAAUUGUUCGUAAUACUUUUAGCCAUAAAACAUCAUUGUUUUAACAUAAAUAUGAUAAACUGCAAUCUGAUCUUUUUUCAGCAGUUUUUUAUCACUUAAAAUUGGGUCUAGACAUUUAUGCAAAAAAAUUGUCCAUUUAUAGACAAACAAUAAAAGAGUACCGAUAGUCAAAACGAUCAAUCGGUGAGAUUGCAGUUUUAAAUACACCUUUUAAGACCGCUGUAAAAUUCCAAUGGUUUGCCUAAAUCUUUAAAGCUAGCAUACUGUUUAAUUGACAACCAUACUUAUUGUUUAAAAGUGUCAUGAUAUCUUUGUACAAUGUUUUUAUAUAAUUCAUUAAAGAAG